AGCGCUGCCGCCCAGCCGCUUGGGCCGUUGCCGGCUGCGCGCUUGGAGCCGCCCGAGGCCGCGCACUGCUGGGCCCGCCGCUCCCUGCGCUCGCCUGCUGUCGCCUAGGGCAGGAGCGCCUCUGGGCGCCGCCCUGCGCUGUCUGUACCGUGGAGGGAAGAGAGAGGGAGGGGCCGGUGAGGAAGAGGAGGAAGGGGAAAAAUGGAAUUGGACCGAACGACCGCCGGUGGGAAAAAGAGAUAAGGCGCCAGAGGAGGAGCUGAGGAGGUUGUGGCGCGUGGAAUUUUUGCAGCUGGAGGUGGCAAUCGGAACAGCGGUGAACUGCAGCAGCAGGAGGUGGCACGGUUGGGGAAACAGCGGUGAACUGC
rnacentral:lncRNA from 1 species